GGGCGCACGGUGGAUGCCUUGGCACCAGGAACCGAUGAAGGACGUGGGAGGCCACGAUAGUCCCCGGGGAGUCGUCAACCAGGCUUUGAUCCGGGGGUUUCCGAAUGGGGAAACCCGGCAGUCGUCAUGGGCUGUCACCCUUGCCUGAACACAUAGGGCAAGUGGAGGGAACGCGGGGAAGUGAAACAUCUCAGUACCCGCAGGAAGAGAAAACAACCGUGAUUCCGGGAGUAGUGGCGAGCGAAACCGGAUGAGGCCAAACCGUAUGCGUGUGAGACCCGGCAGGGGUUGCGCAUACGGGGUUGUGGGAUCUCUCUUCUACGGUCUGCCGGCCGUGGGACGAGUCAGAAACCGUUGAUGUAGGCGAAGGACAUGCGAAAGGUCCGGCGUAGAGGGUAAGACCCCCGUAGUCGAAACAUCAGCGGCUCGUUUGAGAGACACCCAAGUAGCACGGGGCCCGAGAAAUCCCGUGUGAAUCUGGCGGGACCACCCGCUAAGCCUAAAUAUUCCCUGGUGACCGAUAGCGGAUAGUACCGUGAGGGAAUGGUGAAAAGUACCGCGGGAGCGGAGUGAAAUAGUACCUGAAACCGUGUGCCUACAAGCCGUGGGAGCGUCGGAACAAGGCUUGCCUUGUUCUCGUGACUGCGUGCCUUUUGAAGAAUGAGCCUGCGAGUUUGCGGUGUGUUGCGAGGUUAACCCGAGUGGGGAAGCCGUAGCGAAAGCGAGUCCGAAUAGGGCGUUUCAGUAGCACGCUCAAGACCCGAAGCGGAGUGAUCUAGCCAUGGGCAGGUUGAAGCGGAGGUAAGACUUCGCUGGAGGACCGAACCCACCAGGGUUGAAAACCUGGGGGAUGACCUGUGGUUAGGGGUGAAAGGCCAAUCAAACUCCGUGAUAGCUGGUUCUCCCCGAAAUGCAUUUAGGUGCAGCGUCGUGUGUUUCUUGCCGGAGGUAGAGCACUGGAUAGGCGAUGGGCCCUACCGGGUUACUGACCUUAGCCAAACUCCGAAUGCCGGUAAGUGAGAGCGCGGCAGUGAGACUGUGGGGGAUAAGCUCCAUGGUCGAGAGGGAAACAGCCCAGAGCAUCGACUAAGGCCCCUAAGCGUACGCUAAGUGGGAAAGGAUGUGGAGUCGCACAGACAACCAGGAGGUUGGCUUAGAAGCAGCCACCCUUGAAAGAGUGCGUAAUAGCUCACUGGUCUAGUGAUUCCGCGCCGACAAUGUAGCGGGGCUCAAGCGUACCGCCGAAGUCGUGUCAUUCACACAAUAGGGCCAACGCCUGUGUGGAUGGGUAGGGGAGCGUCGUGUGCCGGGUGAAGCAGCGCCGGAAGGCAGUUGUGGACGGUUCACGAGUGAGAAUGCAGGCAUGAGUAGCGAUUCACACGUGAGAAACGUGUGCGCCGAUUGACUAAGGGUUCCUGGGUCAAGCUGAUCUGCCCAGGGUAAGUCGGGACCUAAGGCGAGGCCGACAGGCGUAGUCGAUGGAUAACCGGUUGAUAUUCCGGUACCCGCUGUGAAGCGUCAAACAUCGAAUCCAGUGAUGCUAAGCCCGUGAAGCCGCCGGCUGAGUCUUCGGACGAGGUCGGAGUGGUGGAGCCGGUGACCCGAGCUGGUAGUAGGUGAGUGAUGGGGUGACGCAGGAAGGUAGUCCAUCCCGGGCGGUGGUUGUCCCGGGGUAAGGGUGUAGGCCGGACGGUAGGUAAAUCCGCCGUUCAUUAAGGCUGAGACCUGAUGCCGAGCCGAUUGUGGUGAAGUGGAUGAUCCUAUGCUGUCGAGAAAAGCCUCUAGCGAGUUUCAUGGCGGCCCGUACCCUAAACCGACUCAGGUGGUCAGGUAGAGAAUACCGAGGCGUUCGGGUGAACUAN
rfam:Streptomyces griseoflavus Tu4000 genomic scaffold supercont1.1, whole genome shotgun sequence.